CCUGGUGGCUCAGAUGGUAAAGCAUCUGCCUGCAAUGUGGGAGACCAGGGUUCGAUCCCUGGGUCAGGA
rnacentral:tRNA from 1 species